AAUGCUUCUUGGUCUUUUGGCUAAGAUCAGGUGUAGUAUGUGUUUUUUUUCAGUUUAUAUGAUACGCACCCUCUCUGGGACCCAUGUACUAAAGGGAAUUUUAGACUAGGGAGAUGGAAGAGAAGCUUGCUCUGUCCACACCACGCCUUGAUCUGGCAUUGCAGUACUUCCAUGACCAGUACACAAUGC